AUUGAACGCUGGCGGCGUGCUUAACACAUGCAAGUCGAACGGUAAGGCCCUUCGGGGUACACGAGUGGCGAACGGGUGAGUAACACGUGGGUGAUCUGCCCUGCACUUCGGGAUAAGCCUGGGAAACUGGGUCUAAUACCGGAUAGGACCCUGGGAUGCAUGUCCUGGGGUGGAAAGCUUUUGCGGUGUGGGAUGGGCCCGCGGCCUAUCAGCUUGUUGGUGGGGUGAUGGCCUACCAAGGCGACGACGGGUAGCCGGCCUGAGAGGGUGACCGGCCACACUGGGACUGAGAUACGGCCCAGACUCCUACGGGAGGCAGCAGUGGGGAAUAUUGCACAAUGGGCGCAAGCCUGAUGCAGCGACGCCGCGUGAGGGAUGACGGCCUUCGGGUUGUAAACCUCUUUCAGCACCGACGAAGCGCAAGUGACGGUAGGUGCAGAAGAAGGACCGGCCAACUACGUGCCAGCCGCCGCAGUAA
rnacentral:rRNA from 1 species